rnacentral:lncRNA from 1 species
CAGCUACCUUGUCUCAGCAACACUCAAGUGGCCCUAGGGAGAGGUCUUAAACAGCAUCCUCCUGCCAAUAGCCAUCAAGGAACUGAGGCCCUUUGCCAUAGCCAUGAGUGCACCAUCAUGAGAGCAGUUCCCCGCCCCUAUCAAGCCUUGAGAUGACUGUAGCCCCAGCUGACUGCUCAACUGCAACCUCAUGAGAGACCUUCAACUAGGAUAACCUAGCUAAGCUAUUCUCAAAUUCCACAGAAACCAUGAAAUAACACAUGCUUUUGUUUUAACCAACUAAGCUUUGGUUAAUUUGUUACAGAGUAAUAGAUAACUAAUACAGCUGGCUUAGCAGGCAUGCAGAGUUUAGGGCUUUUCAUGUAGAUUACAAAAUUGCCUUCCUGAAAUGCUAUGCCAAUUUACACUCCCAUGGGUAGUUGCAUAAGAGUGCUCAUGUCCUCAGUCCUUCCUCUAGCUACAAUCAGGAUGCCUUUGAAGAAGUUAUUGUCCAACAGAUUUCCAUUUAAAGGAAAGGAUGUUUGUCAUGGUAAGUAAUUAAGCAACACAACAUUUCUUAGCUUCUAAGCGAAACCUUACUAGGUUAAGUGAUUUGCAGAAGGGGAAAUGUCAUCUUUUAUCUUAUUCUUUCAGAAGGAAUUGAUUCAACAGAAAAACUACAGGAGACCCCAAAUUGAAAUCAGCAAGAGACCUUUAAAUUGCACAGAAUCAAAUUUCUAAAAACAUAAUUCUACCUGUAUUGUUGAAAAUAGAGCUCAAAAAUCCAUUAGCUCUUUGCAUUUUCCCCCAUUUUUGUAAUUAUUGUUAUCGCUUCCUCUAUUGUGAAGUCUCUAUUAUGUGAAUCCCAUUGAGGGCUGCCUUUCCAUCACCAUCAGCUCAUUGGUGCUGUCAACAUAGAGCUCCCAGGAGGCCUCACUGAGAAUCUGCUGGAAAAGAAGGGAAAUGUGAGCUUGAGGAGUCUUGCUAGCAGUGAGUGUUGCCAUGCCCACUGGAGCUAUGCUUAACCUAAAGAUUUCAGGACUCUUUUGACCUACAAAAACAUCUCGAGCAGAACACUCAGGUUUUGCUAUCUUUUUCACACUUUUUUCCCCCAGGAACAUGACCAGCCACAUUUUAAUGGCCACAGAGAAAAUAAAAUCUUUUCC